rnacentral:SRP_RNA from 1 species
GCCAGGUGUGGCGAUGUACAUCUGUAGUCCCAGCUACUUAGGAGGCUGAGGCAGGAGGAUUGCUUGAGCCCAGGAUUUGAGGUUACAGUGAGCUAUGACAAUACCACUGCACUCCAGCCUGGGCAACAGAGCGAGACCUUGUCUCAA